UACGAAGGGGGCUAGCGUUGCUCGGAAUUACUGGGCGUAAAGGGCUCGUAGGCGGCCAACUAAGUCGGAUGUGAAAUCCCCAGGCUUAACCUGGGAACUGCAUCCGAUACUGGAUGGCUUGAAUCCGGGAGAGGGAUGCGGAAUUCCAGGUGUAGCGGUGAAAUGCGUAGAUAUCUGGAGGAACACCGGUGGCGAAGGCGGCAUCCUGGACCGGCAUUGACGCUGAGGAGCGAAAGCCAGGGGAGCAAACGGG
rnacentral:rRNA from 1 species